rnacentral:lncRNA from 1 species
AUAAUUUUGUUUGUAUUUUAUUUAUUUAUUUAAUUUAUUUCUUUGUUAUUAUCUAAACUAUACUUCUCUUUCCCUGCAGGAGUCCUUCUACCCUAGUGCCAGCCCAUACCACAAAGAGAACUGGACAAAAGUAGAGAUUUCUGAGCAGACGCACCAUCUUAACUUACAAGAGUAUGCGGGAGAAACAGUUGUCCAAAGGGAAAUAGAAAAGAAGAGACAACUUUCCAGGAGCCAUCCCAUCACCAAUGAUUACCUGGUUAACGUUGGCAGCAUUCCAGAAGAAAAUAAAGAUGUAAUCAAAUACAGGUUGGACUCCACCGUUCAAAACAAUGUGGUGUAUGAGUUCCACUCCUUUAUAACUGACCAAAAAGUGACAGACCAGAAAUAUCGGAAUUUAACGCGAUGUGAAAGCACCCUGAGAGCUAUGGCUACACAAGACGCGACACG